GUUUAAAGUAUGAUUACGAACAUCAAUUACAAACUAUAUGUCCUAUAAAAGUUGGAAAGAACUAUAUUGUCCAAUUGAUUCUGCAACUAUGAGUUCCCACACUAAUAUUGUCAUAGUCCGGCACUGAACUAUAUCUGUCUUUGUGUCAAUCCACCAAUCUGUCUGCACAGCGUUCCGUGUCUUGGGGUUCUGAUCCUGUUUUGGUUGACGGCUGCUCGGCUACCACAACUCAACUGGAUGGAAACAUUGGCAAGGUAGUAGUGGAAUGGAUUGGACUGGACUAUAAUUACGUAUUACGUUGUGCUUUGCGUUUUCUCGUAUUACCAGAACAUGUUUUUCUGGUUUCUGUGAAAUGCAUCUGUCAUUCUGUUCCAUGCCUAUUCACUCAAUUGUGUAUAGAGAAGAAGAUUUAUGACUUGACAUGACAUAUGACAUACAUAUAUUUUGAUGAAUAUGUGGAUAUUUAGCGGCAUUUUUCGUUCACUGAAGUGAUUUUGAUUUUACACUUUGAAAUAUAUAUUUAUAUCUGUGUGUUCAUCGUGUAAUAGUGUGAUCAAGUUAUUAGCUGCCUAGGAAUAUAGAAAUUACCCCUUCGAGAGCUUUUGGGAAACUUCAAACAUCAUCGUUUGUGGUUCUGUUGUGUCAGCAUUUAUGAAACUAGCGUUGUUUUCAUAAAUUAUUAGUGAAAUAUUUUCUGUAGGCUGCUUGGGAUUUGGAUUAUCUUAGUACUCAACGGUAUGACGGUGAUUCUGGAUUGUUUUGAGUAUUACAAUUCUAUUCACAUAUUAUGUCUGUGGAUGAUGUCUGCCCACACAGGAACUGUUUAUCAGCUACUCAGAACAACUGGUAACGCAACAACGUCAUCGUGCUGUCUAUGGUACGAUCUGCUGAAUGUCCUGGAGUGGAAAACCGUAACAGUGGUGAUGGAGUAGUGGAGUAGUGACUGCCUCGAAGUGCCUUGGGGUGUAGUGUUGCCUCGAUUGCAUGAAACAAGAGAGAAAUUCGGCAGUAAGUUCUUUCAUGAUAUAUUUUUAUUCUUAUAGCUAGGUUAUGUUACUAAUAAAUUCGAUAACAAAAAAAUCAACAAAAAUAACUGCAUUCCAUAGUUAACAAUCAUUUUACAUUUUAUUCUAAUUGGUUAGAGUACAUAUAAUAUACAUUAAAGUUAAUUUGACGAUAAAUAGCAGAUACCUUACAAACUUUCUUUUUCAACUUUGAAGCAUACUUUUUGAUUUAUGCUUGAACAUACUUUCAAAAUCCAUUGGUUCUUUAUGACACACCCAUUUUAACAUUAAUUUUUUUAUGUACAAUUUUUUACUGAUUCCUUACAGUAUUUGUUACCUGCCUAUUCAAUUGUCACCUCAUGUGAUAUACAUUUCACUGAAUAAUAGGAAAUUGAAAAUAGCAAUAGCAAUUUAUUUUCUUUUCAAUGAAA